ACACGGCGGCGGUCUGUAGGCGUCUCCUCAGUGGGACAUUGAGAGGAGCAAAGCGGAUCAUUGUGGCCCCAAACUUAGUUGGCUCUUUGUCGUCCUUCAGCUCCGUUGCACAAUGCCCCAAAGUCCAAAAUCUCGGGGAUUCUGGCUAACAAACUUUUGUAAACAGGCUCGGCUUUUCGCAAGACGCGCGUACGCGACGCUCGUGGGUGGGACAGCGUCGGCCUAUCAUAGCUUUUAAGGGGCGCGCGUUCACGUGGGCGCACCGAUGAAGAAAAAGACGUGAAAGUCACAUGUUAGCAACAGGAAGUGACCUCAACGCCAGUAAGGCGGAAAAAGGGAAAACAACUGAUGUCUGACUUUUAGCAAAUAUAUUAAAGUGACUUGGUUAUUGUUUAUGUUAGGGUACACUUUCAAAACUGUACAAACUUGUACGCCCGUGUACAAGUGUUCAACAGAUUUACGCGCAGUUUGGUUUUGUAGCGCCAGAUGGCGCCCGAGUAUAACACUGACACUGCUCGUUUGAGGCUAGCAAGAUGACGAAGAAAACAGCAUACAGAAACGACUUCAGGGAAUAUGUUUUUUUGUUUGUGUUUUUUAGCUGUACCAGAAUACGAUGAAGCGUUUGUCGUACUUUGCUUCACUGUAACCACGGUGGCAGACGAGGAAAUACCGAAGUGUUGUUUCCUUUAAUGAUAAUAAGCUUACGAUGUUAUGCAGAGGUAUAGUUAUAAUACUUUUAGAGACACAUUUUGCCAUUUAUUGUCACGGUGGAUAGUGGGUGGGGCACGAAAUAUUUUCUUUUUCCAGGGUGGCGUAACAGUAAAUAUUUGAGAAGCACUGGGUUAAUUGAAGGCUUAUCGCCAUUGAUGGGAAUGGUAUGUCAAUAUAUAACCUGUAGACAAACAUGGUGUACAAAGUCAGCUGGGAUAGGCUCCAACUCACCAUCACCUUCAGCAGGAUAAGGUGUGGAAAAUUAUUAAUUGUCUAUUGUUUAAACAGCUUAAUACAGUUGGUAGACUUAAAACAACUUUUAAAGUAUGCACAUGUAAUAACCUUUUAAACGUUCAAAGAAAAAAUCAUUAACAUUUUAAAGGUAAUGUCCUUGCUCGUUUGGCUGAGUGAGCACUACAUUUGCAAAUGUGCAGCAAUGGCCAAACGCUUGAACACAGAAAUGAUCCAAACAUGAAAGUCACGCAACAAGGAAAUGCUGCAAGUUAAACACAUUGCAAUGACAUAAUGCAGCAAGAUCAAACACAAACCUAAAAAACAACUGCAUGAGAGAAAUACUGCAAGUUGACCGGAAAAAAAUGGAAGUGUGCCAGGCUACUAGGGGCACCAGACCAGAGGAAUGUCUGUCAUUAAAACAGUUUGGUCAAUACUUGGCUGCAGCCAAUUUUAAUAGCUACUGUUAGCCUUAGAAUGAGACCCAGACAAAGACUUCCGUUCUGUUUCAUAAACAGCAUUUAUCUCAUAAAGUAUAUGUUUUUGUCAUUUGCAGCAUUUUUCUAUUGCAUUUAUUUUGGAUCUUGCAGCAGUUGCGUGAUGUGCAAUAUUUUCCUGUUGCAAUUGUUUUAUUGUGGUUGAGGGUUUCUGUUUUUGUAUAACUUCUUGUUAUAAGUUUGGAGCAGUUGUACUUUUGUUGCGCAUUUCCUCUUAUCGGCCACUGCAGUACACACAUACAUUAAUUAGAGCACAGGUAUGUUUGAACGCAGGGCUGUAGUUUCCCUGGCGACCACCAAGAACAACAAAGAGGUCGCUGCAAGGACCAAGAUUUCUUCAAGCAAAGAAAGGACAAAACCUGAUGGCCGUCUGACGACCCACUGCCACUGAAGGGAGGCGGGGUCAGAGAAUAAAUUGUUGCGGCCCAAAGGAGAAGAGAAGGCUUCAGAAGGGAAAGAGACAUGCCCAAGAGGAGAAGGUAGGCGUGACGGUGGAGAGGACGUGGAGUGGUGGGUAGCAGCGAUGGGAUAAGAAACAUUACUGCGUGUUCUGUCGCCGACCACAAGUGAAGAUUGCUCACCACCUGUUCAGGUAACAUGCAAAUGAAAAGCAAGUUGUGGCUUCCAGCGUGCUGCCGACUGGCUCCAAAGAACGCCACCCGCUGUUGAAGCAGCUGCGCAGUAGAGGCAACUACCUGCACAAUAUUGAGGCUUAUUUCCUGUUUGAUUUCCUGUGUGCCAACUUACCAGCUGCCAAAGUGCUGACUUUUAUGUCCAUCAGGUAAUCAGACAGGGCCGUGUAGAGACUGUCCUGUGGCCUCAGCCCUCACAGGAUGUGGUGGCCAGGAACUACCUUCUGUGCCCACUCUGCGUUGGUUUUUUCUUGCGUGCUGAUCUCCGGAAGCACCAGGCCUGUUGUCGCAGGAAACAGGCCUUUGACCCCUCCAAAGAUCCAAGUCACCGAAUUGUAGAGAUAAACUGUGACCCCACAAAGGACGCAAACUCUGAUCAAACAAGUACUGGAAGCUGUGACUUGCAAGAAGUUGACCAUUUUCCUCCAUUUAUAUUGGAAAAGUUUGGAGCUUCCAAAUAUGAGACGGAGCCUCCAUGGAGGCAAUGCAGGGUCCAGGCUGAGGCAUUUCGCCUCUUGCCUAUUUGCGGGGGAGCCUCUGAGAGCUGCAGUGAAAUCAAGAUGACUCAACCUGGCAUUAACCAUGACUUCCUAGCAGCUGUCAUCAGUGGAGCUGAUGAUGAGCUCCCUCUUAGGAGUGACGACGACGCCAAAGGCUGUUUGCGAGAUCGCCAUUGGAGAAAGCCUUCAAGAUGGUGACUGGGAGACUGCUGCCAGGACCACUGACUCUAUCACCUCCUGAGGAAGGACUGGGACAACGUAGGGCUGAGCACUAAACCAGCCACAACAACGGAAGAAGAAAACCUGAAGAACAAAUUGGUCCAGUCAAGAGGUGAAAAGAAGUAUCAAGGGCAUGAUUUUGAGGACUUUCAUCGUCGACCAGAGCUCACUGUAGCACACAAGAAAGUCCAGCAUCAUCAAUGGUUGUCAGCGGAGAAAGAAGCCGUCUGGAGACAACUAGGAGUCCAUGCACUGGUACAGACUGUACCAGGAAAGGAGGUCUGUCAGUGAUGUCUGGACCUAGAGCUUGUCCUCAGGGGACGACACUGGAAAUACAUCAAAACCAGAUUCACAACCAGAUCCCUAGCCAAAAGAAACAACAGUUCCAAGCACAGAUGGAUCUUCAGUAGAGCCACGUUCAACAAGAUCUACAUCAAGACACAAAGAAGCAACAACAAAUACAAAUAAAGCCACAGCUCAAAGUCCUCAUCCAGAACCAGAAAAAACAACCCUGUCAUGUCCAAUUGCAUUCAGCGCAACAAAUUCUUAAUCCAAACAUCAAACAUCAGUGCCAACCUCAAAUGGACCAACAAGACCAGAAGAACAUUCGGAAUAAACAGCAGUGCCAGGCCCAAAUGGAAUACAAAGACCAUUUUCAGGUCCACAAAAAUCCAGCACCCCCCGCGACCCCAAAAGGGACAAGUGGUAGAAAAUGGAUAGAUGGAUGGAAAAAUGUUUAGAUUUAACCCAAAUGGUCCUUAUUAAGCAUUUAAUUUUUUCAGUAUUUAAACAAUUAUUGCGUUAACAGGCUGAAAUGUUGCCACAUAGUUUUUAACAAGUUACAUUUUUUGAAAUACAUUACAUGCAGGAUUAUUAGUGAAUGAAAUACUGACUAUACACUCACCCCUGCAGGGACUGUUUGACCCCAUUGGCUCCCAUUA